AGGGUUCGAUUCUGGCUCAGGAUGAACGCUAGCUACAGGCUUAACACAUGCAAGUCGAGGGGCAGCAGGACGAUAGCUUGCUAUUGUUGCUGGCGACCGGCGCACGGGUGAGUAACGCGUAUCCAACCUUCCCCUUAGUAGGGCAUAGCCCGGUGAAAAUCGGAUUAAUACCCUAUGUUGUGUCAUGAGGACAUCUGAAUAACACUAAAGAUUUAUCGCUAAGGGAUGGGGAUGCGUCCGAUUAGGUAGUCGGCGGGGUAGCGGCCCACCGAGCCCUCGAUCGGUAGGGGUUCUGAGAGGAAGGUCCCCCACACUGGUACUGAGACACGGACCAGACUCCUACGGGAGGCAGCAGUGAGGAAUAUUGGUCAAUGGGCGCGAGCCUGAACCAGCCAAGUAGCGUGCAGGAUGACGGCCCUAUGGGUUGUAAACUGCUUUUAUACUGGGAUAAAGUGAGGGACGUGUCCCUUAUUGUAGGUACCGUAUGAAUAAGGACCGGCUAAUUCCGUGCCAGCCGCUGC
rnacentral:rRNA from 1 species